rnacentral:rRNA from 1 species
GGCGUGUACUGCUUGGCUGGGCCUUACUUCUUGGUGAGCCGGCGUGCCCUUUAUUGGUGUGCGUCGGGGAACCAGGACUUUUACCUUGAGAAAAUUAGAGUGUUCAAAGCAGGCCUAUGCCUGAAUACAUUAGCAUGGAAUAAUAGAAUAGGACGUGCGGUUCUAUUUUGUUGGUUUCUAGAGUCGCCGUAAUGAUUAAUAGGGACAGUUGGGGGCAUUGGUAUUGAGUCGCUAGAGGUGAAAUUCUUGGAUUGACUCAAGACCGACUAUUGCGAAAGCAUUUGCCAAGGAUGUUUUCAUUAAUCAAGAACGAAGGUUAGGGGAUCGAAAACGAUCAGAUACCGUUGUAGUCUUAACAGUAAACUAUGCCGACUAGGGAUCGGAUGACCUCAAAAUUGAUGUGUCAUUCGGCACCUUACGAGAAAUCAAAGUCUUUGAGUUCUGGGGGGAGUAUGGUCGCAAGGCUGAAACUUAAAGGAAUUGACGGAAGGGCACCACCAGGUGUGGAGCCUGCGGCUUAAUUUGACUCAACACGGGGAAACUCACCAGGUCCAGACAUAACUAGGAUUGACAGAUUGAUAGCUCUUUCAUGAUUUUAUGGGUGGUGGUGCAUGGCCGUUCUUAGUUGGUGGAGUGAUUUGUCUGGUUAAUUCCGAUAACGAACGAGACCUUAACCUGCUAAAUAGCCAGGCCGGCUUCGGCUGGUCUCUGGCUUCUUAGAGGGACUGUCAG